ensembl:lncRNA
AUUUCAGCCUCUUUCUCACUGUAAUUUUCCUUUAAAACCAGAUAUGACCACUGUAAAGAAUUAGUAAUAGAAUUAGAAUUCCUUGUCUAAGAUUCAUUCGUGUGAGCAAAGUUAGAAAGUAAAAUAAUUUUCGUCAGGGUUUUGUGUUUGUUUCUUGGGGUUUUGGGGAGUCUUUUGGGUUUGGGGAGAGCUUUUUCUUUUGGUUGGUUUGUUUUUUUGCUGUUGGGAUUUUUCUUGGUUGGUUGGUUGGUUUGUUGCUUUUGUUUUUCACAGAUUGAAGCACCAAGCUAUUGCAAAUUAGAGUCUAAGUAGUAACUGCAACUUGAGAAGAAUGGAACCAUAAUUCAUCUAAAUUGUGAUAGCUCCAGAGUGUGGUAUUUCUCUGCUGUCUUGAUCCUAUUUCUCAAAGAAAGAAUUUAUGCUUCACUUGAAUCUUGUCCAUUUUGCAAACCUGGAGGUGUGGUCCAGAGGAUUUUCCCACAGAGCAAAGAGAGACAUUUACAAUACUAUUUGAUCUUCAUGUCAAGAGAAAGAAAAGAAGGCAGAAGAAUUGACAGCUUGAUCCUUGUCUUCUUAUGAAACACCAGCUUUUAGAUUUUGACCUCUUCUAGCAGUGCUACUCUAAUAGCAGAUACGUAAUAGGUCUUGUUUGGACUUGAGCUUGAUUGUAACCCUCACAUCCAAAGAUCUAGAUAGAGUACCAGGUAUUCUCUCUGCUUUUUUUUAUAAACACUGUUUAUGCAUCUUUGUUUUGGGCAUCUUGUAUUUGUUCAUUAUGUUGAGGUACAAUUACUAAAAGAAGGCUUAGACUUUGCAAUUGGCAUUAUUUUAAAUCUUAGGAACCUGAAGAAAAUAGGAAAUUAAAAAUAUUGUGUCCAAAAACUGGUUUUCUUUUUAAAGUACUUUUUAUCCAUGCACUUCUACCACUUGAUCAUAAGCCAAAUACUGUUCACAAUUGACAAUGCUAUCCAGAUAGAAUUCUGAAUUUCUUUUUUUUAUUGGCUGCCCCACUCACAGUUAUUUUGAUUUCACAUCCAAAGUGUUGGUCUUUGACCUUGAACCAAUUUCUCAAAAUUUGUUGCCCCAGCAGUAUGAGUGUGUGUGAGAGAGAGUGUGUGUGUGUGUGUGUGUAUGAAAUUAAUUAGAGGAAUUUAUUCCAUGUGUGUAUGGAUGGACAAGAUACGGGAAACAGGGAAUAGUUGUCUAAAUGGUUCUUUUUGAACCCUGGAGGUAUUUUAGUGCCAGUUUAAAACUUAAAAUGUGGGGUUUUCAACAUUGGUAAGUUAUAGUUUGUGAGUUUAAAUUAAUUAUGCAAGGCACAAGAGUCUUUCAGUGCAUUUGAAUUCAAGGAUAUAAAAAAAGUGACUUUCUAUUAUAAAAGGUAAUUGCAUUUGUGUAAUUCACCCUACCAGUAGUGUUAAGAAAUAACUUUGAACAGAGUAGAGCUAGAGAUGAAGAGGAUAGGCCAUUGGCUCUAAGGAUAAAACAAAGGAAGUUGUCAUUUGAAGGACUGUGAAAUACUCUCACAGAAAGAGUGGCUAUUCUUAGAGUAUGACAUUGAGUCUGUAGCAGAUGAGAUUUUCUUUGUGAAAUUAUGCCCUAUACAAUGAACAGUUUAUUUUAAUUCUCUUGUUUGUGACUUCUUGGUGUGCCUGAAAAGCUUUCAUGUGCAUGUAUCCUGUAUGACUUCCGUAAAUUAAUACUGUGUACAACAAAAGUCAUUUUAUAUUGGAUACACAUAAAUAAAAAAGGUUAUCAGUACUCUGUUUGCCUUUGU